rnacentral:lncRNA from 1 species
CUCGAUCCACCCAAAAACAAUAUAAACUUUUCAAGGUUCCAAAGCCAUACCCUGAACAUUUAAAGUUAUUAUCCCUAUUCCUUGAUCCUAAGCCCCAAGUGUAGUUCGUGCAAAUACUAAACCCCAAAUCUUAUGCCCCUUUGCCACUUUUACUGAUAAUAGGGAUGUGAUCCAAAAAAUGGUUCCUGCAUCACUGUUGCUGCACCUGGAUGCCUACUAUACCUGGGGGUAAUCCAAUUAUCUAUUGUAUGUGAAUGUUCUUUUAAAUAUACUUGAGCUGAGACCUUGCAGCAUUUAUUAGAAACUCUAAAGGAAAGAUGGUUUUUGCCUUUUCUUUCUUCUACGGAGUAGGUACAAGAGCUGAGAGACUGGCACGACUAACAGAGUUGAAGCUUUGCAGACAAUUAGUACUGCAGUUGAUUUCUGUUGUUUGUGACUGUAAUGUUCUCGUUGAGUUGUAAAUGGCUUAGCUGUUGCUCCUUGGCAAGCGGGUUAUGUUGUUCGAGAUGCCUCCAAGAGUCCAGCCUCAUCGCAAUUUUGCAGAAGCUACAUUGUUGCUGGUUCAUUGCCAUCUUUUGCUCAUGAGCAUAGAUAGACAAGCUCGGUACUACCAUGGUAGUCAUAAGCAUCACCCUCUGUGUAAGAAUGCAGUGUAAUCAGAUUCACAAGGAAUGGGCCUCAAUUCCUUUAUAUUCCUAGAUUUGGCAGUUAUGAGCAUUUUGCCCUUAUCUUGUAUCUACAUUCGGACCUUUUUUAGAGACGAGGUAUUUGAGUUCCCCCAUUUCUAUUCCCUUUUUAUCUAUGAACUACUAAAUUUUCAGGAGCCUGUUCCCUACAAUAACAAAAGAAAACUUGUGAUGGUCAGCUUCCUGGUGGAUCUAAGACGAGUUUCAUUGGGUUUCAUCAAUACUUUGUCUGUUCACGGCUACAUGAAACUUAGUUCAGAAGUCGAUCUUUCACAUGUACUAAAUGGUGUGAAAACAACUCCCUCUGGCAGGUGAUCAUGUUCCUCAUUCAUCAAAAUGACACCUGAAGGCCCCUUCAUGUUGGAGGUAUUGUAAGAAAUUAAGGCAAUAUAAAUAGUACUUCUUAUCAACACUUUCUAAAGCAAGAUCUCAUUUUGAUUUUCUGAAGUCAAUUUAUUUUUAGUGAGGUUAAUUUUGUUUCACAAUCAUAUGUACAUACAUACUGAUUUUGUUUUGUGGUUUGCUGGGAUAGUUUGAGACAAUUUUUUACUAUAUUUGGAUUAUGUGAAUUUCUAUAGGUUUUCAUAGAAUGGAAAGGGAAGAGAGUUUAUCUGAUAACUAUUCUUAAUUGUGG